UACGUAGGGGGCAAGCGUUGUCCGGAAUCAUUGGGCGUAAAGAGCGUGUAGGCGGCCCGAUAAGUCCGCUGUGAAAGUCCAGGGCUCAACCCUGGGAUGCCGGUGGAUACUGUCGGGCUCGAAUCCGGAAGAGGUGAGUGGAAUUCCUGGUGUAGCGGUGAAAUGCGCAGAUAUCAGGAGGAACACCAAUGGCGAAGGCAGCUCACUGGGACGGUAUUGACGCUGAGACGCGAAAGCGUGGGGAGCAAACAGG
rnacentral:rRNA from 1 species